rnacentral:rRNA from 1 species
UACAGAGGGUGCGAGCGUUAAUCGGAAUUACUGGGCGUAAAGCGUGCGUAGACGGCUAUCUAAGUCGGGUGUGAAAGCCCCGGGCUCAACCUGGGAAUUGCAUUCAAAACUGUCGAGCUAGAGUAUGGUAGAGGGUGGUGGAAUUUCCUGUGUAGCGGUGAAAUGCGUAGAUAUAGGAAGGAACACCAGUGGCGAAGGCGACCACCUGGACUGAUACUGACACUGAGGUGCGAAAGCGUGGGGAGCAAACAGG